rnacentral:rRNA from 1 species
CAGCAGCCGCGGUAAUACGAAGGGGGCUAGCGUUGUUCGGAUUUACUGGGCGUAAAGCGCACGUAGGCGGAUCGAUCAGUCAGGGGUGAAACCCCAGAGCUCAACUCUGGAACUGCCUUUGAUACUGUCGAUCUGGAGUAUGGAAGAGGUGAGUGGAAUUCCGAGUGUAGAGGUGAAAUUCGUAGAUAUUCGGAGGAACACCAGUGGCGAAGGCGGCUCACUGGUCCAUUACUGACGCUGAGGUGCGAAAGCGUGGGGAGCAAACAGGAUUAGAGACCCGCGUAGUCCCUGUCUCUUAUAC